rnacentral:rRNA from 1 species
GACGAACGCUGGCUGCGUGCUUAACACAUGCAAGUCGAACGGAAAGGCCCUGCUUUUGUGGGGUGCUCGAGUGGCGAACGGGUGAGUAACACGUGAGUAACCUGCCCUUGACUUUGGGAUAACUUCAGGAAACUGGGGCUAAUACCGGAUAGGAGCUCCUGCUGCAUGGUGGGGGUUGGAAAGUUUCGGCGGUUGGGGAUGGACUCGCGGCUUAUCAGCUUGUUGGUGGGGUAGUGGCUUACCAAGGCUUUGACGGGUAGCCGGCCGGAGAGGGUGACCGGCCACAUUGGGACUGAGAUACGGCCCAGACUCCUACGGGAGGCAGCAGUGGGGAAUAGUGCACAAUGGGCGGAAGCCUGAUGCAGCAACGCCGCGUGCGGGAUGACGGCCUUCGGGUUGUAAACCGCUUUCGCCUGUGACGAAGCGUGAGUGACGGUAAUGGGUAAAGAAGCACCGGCUAACUACGUG